AGCGAACGCUGGCGGCAGGCUUAACACAUGCAAGUCGAACGCCCCGCAAGGGGAGUGGCAGACGGGUGAGUAACACGUGGGAACGUACCCUUUGGUUCGGAAUAACUUGGGGAAACUCAAGCUAAUACCGUAUAAGCCCUUAUGGGGAAAGGUUUACUGCCGAAGGAUCGGCCCGCGUCUGAUUAGCUAGUUGGUGAGGUAAUGGCUCACCAAGGCGACGAUCAGUAGAUGGUCUGAGAGGAUGAUCAGCCCCACUGGGACUGAGACACGGCCCAGACUCCUACGGGAGGAAGCAGUGGGGAAUAUUGGACAAUGGGGGCAACCCUGAUCCAGCCAUGCCGCGUGAGUGAUGAAGGCCUUAGGGUUGUAAAGCUCUUUUACCCGGGACGAUAAUGACUGUACCGGGAGAAUAAGCUCCGGCUAACUUCGUGCCAGCCGCCGCCGUAA
rnacentral:rRNA from 1 species